rnacentral:rRNA from 1 species
AUGUGUGGAAGCAUCUGUUCCAAGCUGUCAGAAAGUUCAAGGGUGAUGUUUCCAAGGAACCCAACUAUGCAUAUUGUUGGAUGGCAUCUUUUUCUCUGGGGGCAGAACUGCACAUUUUUUCAACCAUUUGUCGCAUUUUGUCACCUUGCAUUCUUAGUUGAACUGAACCUAAGACAAAUCGACGAAAACAAUGAAGAAAAUGAUUUCUCCCGGCCGGAUCCGUGGACAAGGACCUCGCCCUGGACAGAUCCGGUGUUCCGCAAACUCGAGGGGAUCCGGUCGCCGGAGUGGAAGAGGACGCGGGAUCCGGGUGAUUUGGCAGUCAGAGUGGAAGAGGACGAGCGCUCGGGCCGGCGCUUCGGUCGCAGGAGCCGAGGGAGGGUGGGGCUGCACCCGGUCUCCUGGCCACGGCUGAAGGGGAGCGUGGUCGCCGACGACCACCACCGCGGGAACUACGCACAGAUGAGAAAGAGAGAGGGAGGGGGAUGGCUGGGCGACGGAACA